rnacentral:rRNA from 1 species
AAGAGAAUGAUUAAACAAUUAAAAGCUUUCUUUAAUUGAAUAAUUGAAUUUAAUUUUUUAGUGCAAAAGCAAAAAUAAAAAUUAGGGACAAGAAGACCCUAUGAAUUUUUAUUAAAUUUUAUAAAACUUUAUAUAAAAUUUAAUUUAAUUGGGGUGAUGGAAAAAGAAUAAAUAUCUUUUUUUUAAAAAAAAUUGGUUCCGUUUUUAGCGAUUAAAUGAAAAAAAUACUCUAGGGAUAACAGCGUAAUAAUUUUGGAUAGUUCAUAUAGAUAAAAUAGUUUGCGACCUCGAUGUUGGAUUAGGAUUCUUUUUUGGUGAAGAAGUUAAAAAAAGAAGUUUGUUCAACUUAUAAUUUCCU